rnacentral:lncRNA from 1 species
UCAGCUUAGAACAGCUCAUGUUUAUUAUGUCUUCCCAGGAGCUUCAUCCACUCCUACUGUGGGGCAGACUGCUCUGAGGGAAGCCCAUGGAUGACUCAGUGGGGGUGGCUUCUCUGUGUGGAUGAACUGGGGCUAGGCUAGGAAGGCCAGGGUCCCCAGCCUUCCCUCCUGCCUAGACACCCCACACCUUACACCAUUCUAAGGACCACCCACUCUAGGGCACACACAGGCACUUAACAUGUGCGUCCUGGAUAAGUGUGGCACAUGGGACUCAAUCUCCUACCUGCCAAGGGAGCAAAGAACAGGACCACCCAACAGAUUCAAGGCCAAAGGAGCUAAGGUCUCGGCCCUGGGUGGGCAGCAUGUCACAGGAGGCUGACAAGCUCCUCUGGCACCAGGCCUGGCUUGAAGCCAAGCAGCAUGUCCACAGCACCCACAGGGUAAGUUGAAGAGUGCCCCAGGCUAGCCCUUCUGGAUUCACUGAGGAGCGUGGUUGGGUACAGAAGCAGAGCAGCAUCCUGGCUGGGCAGAUGUCUGCACAGGCGCUCUUUCCCUCAGCAGCCAGAUAUCCUGUCAGUUGGAGGAUCGGUUACAUCACACAUUGGCACUCAAAGGUUAUUUUCUGAGGGAGCCUUAGCCACAGCUGAGACUGCAAUGUCCACUGUCCUUAAGUCUGAGGAAAAGAGGCAGACACAGAGGCUCAGCCCAGGGCUACUGCACUCAAGGCUCUCAGUGGUCAGGGUCCAAAAGGGUCUGCAUCACAUCCACGUGGCUGUAG